UAAAUUGUUCAUGAGCCGUUAUAUUUUGUCCAUAAAAUUCUAAUUACAUUUGAAUACAUAUUGAUUUUGUCUUCCGGUGCAACGCACGGGUAUAUGUGCUAGUAAUAAUAAUAAAGCACGGAUUGACUCCGUGGGUUCACCGUCACAAUACGCUUUCUUUUCCUGACAUAAUACGCUUUUACGAUUUGUAUAGACAAAAUCGUAAUAUAAACGAGGUGGUACUAAUUUGAGCCCCCACUUUGUUUUUACAAAAAAAACCUCUAUUAAACCAAAACUACCAAACGAAUCCUCCGCCUCCUCCCCUGCUCUCGCCAUCGCCCGCAGAGCUCCACCCAAUCCCUCGCUCGCUCGGUGAGAUCCAAGGCGGCCGCGUCGGCUGGGAGCGGACCCACGCGGGAGGAGGAGUUCGGCGAGCAUGAGCUGGAGGUGGCAGCCAUUCUCGCGGACCUGUCGUCCAUCGUGCGGGCCAGCAGCAGGAGCAGGCGCGGCCGGAGAUCCCCUCGUGGAGCCGGCGCCGGCCGAGGAAGGCCCUAGCGGCUCCGCCGGCCAAGAAGCCCGCGGCCGAUAGCCCGGACACCCCGCUCGCCUUCCUCGACGACGACGAGGCGGCGGCAGCGCAGGACAAGUCGGCGCAGGAGCAGCGCGGCGAUUUUGACGAGUAGGAGAUGGAGCGCGUCACAAGCACCUUGGCUGCACCCUGAGGUUAUCCAUCAGGCAAACUGUCAUCUCACUGUCGUUCACGAUGCUGCUCCCAAGCCUCCCGACGAGAUUGUGCGAGUUGCAACUUACAUGACGCAGAUUCUUUUGCUAUACUUCGGAAGCCGGCAAUAGCAGCGGCAACGUCGACGCAUCCACGGGCUGGACAAAACUUGAUUAGCUUAUUACUGCAUCAAUAAUUUGUGCCUGUAGGACUCUUUCACAAAUCAUGUCAAUGAGACUAGCAAUUUGAAGAGGCUGCUGCACAUGAUAUGAAGAUAUUGGCAUAUACAGUCCCAAACAUAAGUUUCAAAAUAGCAGGUGUGGAGUUUAGCCCUGUUCCGCUGUAUGGAAAGCCAUGACCUCCACACAGAUGAUGCAAGAGGAAACAAGCUAGACUCACAACUUUGGUUUUCAGGCAUCUUCACCAACAAAUAUUACCCUGGUACUGACAGGUUGUUAGUAUUAUAUAAGUAUACUUGUUCAGCCUUUCCAUGUGCUGGUCUGAAUAUCUAAACAAGGAAGCAGGCUCAGUUGCUCACCAACCUACUAUUGCUGCCAACAAGUAGCCAGAAGCCCAUAGAAGACAUUUGCAUUGAUCACAGAAAAAUGAAGUAUUGAAUUUGUAGGACAUUGUCAUCCUAAUCUGGUUCCCACAUAUUCAAGAUGUGAAGAUUAGAUCUUUGCUCCAACAAAGCCAUGACCUUCAAUUUUGUUGUUAAUUUAACAGCUGUUUUGAUUGUGCCGAUCGAUCGGCUUAUAAGAGCCAAUUUGGUUUCUUGUGAACUAGAGCAUCCUAUUUUUCAUGAUUAUAUUAUAAGAGCUUCAUAUUUUUCAUGAUUAUAUUAAGAACUCACAGAUCUCCUUCACAGCCACACCUAACCUGCACAUCAUCUAGAUUCAAGAGAGCCCUACUACUGCAUCCACCCUAAAAUCACCAACAAAUAUUACCCUGGUACUGACAGCAAAUCAAGGACUUUAGAGCCCGGCCGCAGACCUCACGGAGCACCAACGAUAGCCUCAAGGUGAUUCAGCAGAGCAAGGUGAUGAGUACUCAGCUGGCUGGCCAAUAUCAAUGAUCUUAUCGGCCGGCAAAGCGGAGACGGACGGCCACGGUCCCGACCUUGCCAGCAGGCGGAGACAAUAAAUGGGAUCAAGGGAAGUUGGUCGGGCUCCAGCGGCACAUGCUUACCACUGCUGACUGUUGCCGGGAAAGGUAUGUUGGUUUGAUUCUUUCAAGAUCCCAAACUAAAACAAGUCACCUGUGACAUUUGAAUGAUGCAAAGGUUUGUUGUCUCUUCCCAAGAAAUUGUGUGCAGAGAAGCUACCUUGAUUUUACAUGCUGAACCUAUUUUUGCAUAAUCAAACACUGACGAUAAGAGAGAUGAAUGUGCAGUAUGCUAAAUUUGGGUAUCCAAUUGCAAAAGAAUUGGAUUAUUAUUUACAUUAGAAGCCAGGUUAUCACUAUGUAUUUUAAAUUGAUCGCUCAUGGACCGCUCAAUUGGCCAUAAACACAACAUAAUUCGAUCCCUCCCUUCAAAUUGGCAACUAAAGGGAAGGUGAGUUAAAAUGUCUCAGCCCCUGUGACCUGGCUGGUUAUGUUUAUAUUACAUCCAAUAUUAUGUGUACUCAUUUGAUCUAAGGUUAUUUUUAAUAACUUGUUUUUUUGUCACGAACAAAUCGAUGAACCGGCGGUCCAACCGGUGACAGACACAACGGUUCAGUUGCCCGUUCGGUUUUAAAAAAUAUAGUCCGAUGGUCAUGGUGGAAGAACAUGACAUGAAGUGCUUUGUAUCCCAAGAACGACGAGGAGACAUGAGCAGCCGGUGGCAGUGCUUCGCACUUCGAGCAGUAGGGAUACUUGAUCAUAGGGAAAGGGAAGGGAGAUGAGUUCGUGCUUGCAUGAUUUUUAGGGAAAGAGCGUGUGUAUUGUACUUCUGUGUGCAUGAAGUGUUUUGUUUGGGCCAAGCCCAAAUAAUGAAAAUAAAACACUAUCUCUAAAACUAUUCAAA